UACAGAUGGGACAAAGAAUCUGAGAAGGCCAGAAGCCAAAAGCAAGAAGGCCAGAAGCAAUGAGGAGGCCACUACAAUCAUGGAGAAGGAGAUGACAGUGACCUGGACUUUGCUGAUGGCAGAGCUUUAGAGAAAAAAAGAUGGAUCUGAGAGCUAUUAAGGAGUUGGAACUGCUCGGAUUUCAUGAUUUAUUAGGGGUGAGAAAUGAGGAAGAACAAGGAAUGAGCCCAGGUCCAGGUUCUGGCUUGGACAAGUCGGUGUCACUCACUGAGAUAAGGCUCACAGGAAAGGCAGGUUGAGGAAGGAGAGAAUGAAUUCAGCUUAGAAGAUGUUGAUUUUGGGGUACCUGUGGGAAGAAAAGCAAGAAAGAAGCUUGAUGAAGAACAGAAAGGAGAGAAGGAUAAAGUACAAGAUGCCACAAAGAGGUCAAUUCAACAAAUAUUUAUUGAGUACCUACUAUGUACCAGGGCUCAGCCACCAUGGAAGAAAGCUUGGGUUCAAAUAUUGAUGAAAGAUCACGUGGAGAAAGAGGUCUAUUUUCCAACUAUCCCUGCUGAGAUCCCAAACAUGACGAUGACACCAUCUUGACUCCUCAGCUCCAGGAGACCCAGCAGAUGAACCUCAUGAGCUCCAUGAGGAAGUCUGGCCAAGAAUAGAAGAGGAACUUCCCAGCCAACCCACAGAAUCAUGAGAAACAGUAUAUAUCUUCCUUGACUUAUAACAGAGUUACUCCUAAUAAAACCUAUUGUAAGUUGAAAGUA